rnacentral:rRNA from 1 species
UACGUAGGUGACAAGCGUUGUCCGGAUUUAUUGGGCGUAAAGAGCGCGUAGGCGGUCGUUCAAGUCGAGUGUGAAAGCCCCCGGCUCAACUGGGGAGGGUCAUUCGAUACUGAUCGACUCGAAGGCAGGAGAGGGAAGUGGAAUUCCCGGUGUAGUGGUGAAAUGCGUAGAUAUCGGGAGGAACACCAGUGGCGAAGGCGACUUCCUGGCCUGUUCUUGACGCUGAGGCGCGAAAGCUAGGGGAGCAAACGGG